CCUACGGGGGGCAGCAGGGAGGAAUAUGGGGCAAUGGGAGGAAGGCGGAAGAAGCGAAGGAGAGGGAAGGAAGAAGGAUCUAUGGUUUGUAAACUUCUUUUAUAGGGGAAUAAAGGUAUCCUCGUGUGGAUAUUUGCAUGUACCCUAUGAAUAAGCAUCGGCUAACUCCGUGCCAGCAGCCGCGGUAAUACGGAGGAUGCGAGCGUUAUCCGGAUUUAUUGGGUUUAAAGGGUGCGUAGGUUGUUUUUUAAGUCAGCGGUGAAAGUUUGUGGCUCAACCAUAAAAUUGCCGUUGAAACUGGAAGACUUGAGUGUGUUUGAGGUAGGCGGAAUGCGUGGUGUAGCGGUGAAAUGCAUAGAUAUCACGCAGAACUCCGAUUGCGAAGGCAGCUUACUAAACUGCAACUGACAUUGAUGCUCGAAAGUGUGGGUAUCAAACAGGAUUAGAUACCCCAGUAGUC
rnacentral:rRNA from 1 species